CUCUUUCUCUUUCUCUCUCUCUCUCGUUUUCCACAAUGCAGAAUGGAAUCUCUGUAUUUCGAGGCUUAAUUUGAAUGCUUUAAAUGAAUAUACAACGUGAUCCCAUUUCUUUUUUUUGUGUUUUGUUUUUUGAACUUCAAAGUUUGAACCUGUAGCUUCCGCUUCUUAAAAAGUGAUUUCAUUUUUGUUUAACUUUGUUUUGGGUAUUCGUUUUUAGGGUUGUUGAGCUGAUUUUUGAAGACUUUGAGGAUAAAAGAGAUGAGGAUUUUGAGGGUAUUUCUGAGGUGGGUUUCGGAUGGAAAUGAGAGAUAGCUAUCUGGGUUUUUGAGGAUUUGAGUGAAGCUUAGAGUGGUAGAAUUUUAAAUUGAAGAAGUUUUGUGGGGAGAUCUGUUUUGGGAGCUUUCAAGGGGAUGGUUGAUGAAUGUGUGUACUGUAAGUUCAAAAUAUCUAUACAGUUGUUGCUGUUAAAGUGUUUUUGAAGUGGUAUUUAUGAAGAACAUGAUGAAUUUACUUGAUUUUUAUUAGUGGGUUUUGAUAAUUUUGAGGGUUGGAUAGGCAAUGUUGAGGAUUUGAGUGAACUGAAGAGCUGGUAAAGUGAAAACUUGGGACUGCUUUGAGGUUCAAAAGGAUAAAGCUGAGAUCUCUUGAUAAUUAGAGUUGAUUUGAGAGAUUUUAUAAUCAAUGUCCGGUGCUCCAAGAAUGAGGUCGAUGAAUGUGGCAGAUUCUGAGGCAAGGCCCGUACUGGGACCUGCAGGGAACAAGGCGGGUUCGUUGAGUGCAAGAAAACCAGCUUCAAAGCCUUUGAGAAAGGUUGAAAAGUCUCCGGUUGAGGUCACUGUAGCAGAGGAGAAAAAAGCCCUUCCAUCAUCUACUGUCAAUUCACUUUCUCCAAAAACGCAUUCUGUUAGUGUUCCAUCAGUGCUACGCCGCCACGAGCAGUUAUUACAUUCUAAUUUAUCACUAAAUGCUUCUUGUUCAUCCGAUGCUUCCACGGAUUCAUUUCACAGUCGAGCAUCUACUGGUAGGUUAAUUCGGUCAAAUAGUGUAGGAAAUAGGAGGAAGCCAUACGCAUCAAAGCCGAGAAGCGUUGUUUCUGACGGUGGUUUGGAUUCACCACCUGAUGGUUCACAUCAGAAGAAGAGAUGUGCCUGGGUGACACCAAAUACAGAUCCAAGUUAUGUUGCUUUCCAUGAUGAAGAGUGGGGAGUUCCUGUACAUGACGACAGGAAAUUGUUUGAGCUGCUUGUGCUUUCGGGUGCAUUGUCUGAACUUACAUGGCCUGCUAUACUAAGCAAAAGGCACAUAGUUAGGGAAGUUUUUGUGGAUUUUGAUCCUGUUGCUGUAUCAAAAUUGAAUGAGAAGAAGUUAGUAGCACCUGGUAGCAUCGCAAGUUCAUUGUUAUCAGAACUAAAGCUGCGAGCUAUCAUCGAGAAUGCGCGCCAAAUAUCUAAGGUUAUAGAUGAAUUCGGGUCAUUCGAUGAGUAUAUUUGGAGUUUUGUGAAUCACAAGCCUAUAGUUAGCAGAUUCAGAUAUCCUCGCCAGGUUCCGGUUAAAACUCCAAAAGCAGAUGUCAUAAGCAAAGAUCUGGUAAGAAGGGGCUUUCGAAGUGUGGGGCCCACGGUCAUCUACUCGUUCAUGCAAGUGGCGGGAAUAACCAACGACCAUCUCACGAGUUGUUUCAGAUUCCAGGAAUGCAUAACAGCAGCAGAAGGAAAAGAGGAAAAUGGUAUCAAAGAUAUGCCUGAAGAGAAAAAGACCGAUAACGUGAUGGAAUCAAAGUUAUCCAUAGCUAUCGACGAAUUGAGCUUCUCAUCAGAAUGAUGUUGGCUUGGUGGCAGAUGGCACUCCAGGUUCGAUCAUCAGUUUUACCACAUUGACUUGUAAUGAAGACACCGGCAUCAGGAGCAGCGGGCUGCAGGAAACCAGAUUUUGCCACCGGAUCUGUCGCCAUCAGAUUCUUGACCACACGGUUAAUAGGUGGGGGAGGGGACUGGUUUGAGGGUGGAUGCUAAACCCUGUAAGUUGCUGGACAGCUAAAACUUACACUGACAAGUCCAUUUGUUUGCUUUUAAUGGAUGGCAAUAAAGGGGUUGGGGGCAAAAUGUUUGUGUGUCCUCAAGGACGGGGAGGACUCCACCUUACAAGACAUGGUGCUUGUGCUGUUGGCCCCAAUAUUUACCAAUGAUGUAGGGUACCUCUGUUUCCUCCUUUUAUUGAGAUAAUAAUGGCUUUGAUGGAUGCUUUGUCUGACAAAAAACAAAAAGCCUUGGACAACUUCCAUGCUUUGUCUUUCUAAGCUUUGCGUUAGAUCUGGACAGUAACCAGCUGAAUGCAUUCUUGCAAAUUUUAA